rnacentral:rRNA from 1 species
UACAGAGGUCUCAAGCGUUGUUCGGAUUCAUUGGGCGUAAAGGGUGCGUAGGCGGCGCGGUAAGUCGGGUGUGAAAUCUCGGGGCUUAACUCCGAAACUGCAUUCGAUACUGCCGUGCUUGAGGACUGGAGAGGAGACUGGAAUUUACGGUGUAGCGGUGAAAUGCGUAGAUAUCGAGAGGAACACCUGCGGCGAAGGCGGGUUGCUGGGCUGACACUGACGCUGAUGCGCGAAAGCCAGGGGAGCGAACAGG